rnacentral:rRNA from 1 species
UACAGAGGGUGCAAGCGUUAAUCGGAAUUACUGGGCGUAAAGCGCGCGUAGGUGGUUCGUUAAGUUGGAUGUGAAAUCCCCGGGCUCAACCUGGGAACUGCAUUCAAAACUGACGAGCUAGAGUAUGGUAGAGGGUGGUGGAAUUUCCUGUGUAGCGGUGAAAUGCGUAGAUAUAGGACGGAACACCAGUGGCGAAGGCGACCACCUGGACUGAUACUGACACUGAGGUGCGAAAGCGUGGGGAGCAAACAGG